rnacentral:rRNA from 1 species
CUAAGCCAUGCGAGUCGAGAGGGUUCGGCCCUCGGCGGACUGCUCAGUAACACGUGGAUAAUUUGCCCUUAGGUGGAGGAUAAUCUCGGGAAACUGAGAAUAAUACUCCAUAGAUCUAGGAUGCUGGAAUGCACUUAGAUUGAAAGUUCCGGCGCCUAAGGAUAAGUCUGCGGACUAUCAGGUUGUAGUCAGGGUAAAGACCUGACUAGCCUACAACGGAUACGGGUUGUGAGAGCAAUAACCCGGAGACGAUAUCUGAGACACGAUAUCGGGCCCUACGGGGCGCAGCAGGCGCGAAACCUUCACACUGCGCGAAAGCGCGAUAAGGGGAUCCCAAGUGCCAGCUCGUAAGAGUUGGCUGUUUCUCUGUCUAAAAGCAGAAAGAGUAGGGGCUGGUAAGACGGUGCCAACCGGCGCGGUAA